UACAGAGGGUGCGAGCGUUGUCCGGAAUCACUGGGCGUAAAGGGCGCGUAGGCGGCUUGAUAAGGUUGCGGUGAAAGCCCGGGGCUCAACCCCGGGUCGGCCGUGGCAACUGUCGAGCUGAAGCACUGUAGAGGCAGGUGGAAUUCCGGGUGUAGCGGUGGAAUGCGUAGAGAUCCGGAAGAACACCGGUGGCGAAGGCGGCCUGCUGGGCAGUGGCUGACGCUGAGGCGCGACAGCGUGGGGAGCAAACAGG
rnacentral:rRNA from 1 species